rnacentral:rRNA from 1 species
AUUAGAUUAAAAACCAAUGCCCUUCGGGGCUCUCUGGUGAUUCAUAAUAACUUCUCGAAUCGCACGGCCUUGCGCCGGCGAUGGUUCAUUCAAAUUUCUGCCCUAUCAACUUUCGACGGCUGGGUCUUGGCCAGCCAUGGUGACAACGGGUAACGGAGGGUUAGGGCUCGACCCCGGAGAAGGAGCCUGAGAAACGGCUACUACAUCCAAGGAAGGCAGCAGGCGCGCAAAUUACCCAAUCCCGACUCGGGGAGGUAGUGACAAUAAAUACUGAUACAGGGCUCUUUUGGGUCUUGUAAUUGGAAUGAGUACAAUUUAAAUCCCUUAACGAGGAACAAUUGGAGGGCAAGUCUGGUGCCAGCAGCCGCGGUAAUUCCAGCUCCAAUAGCGUAUAUUAAAGUUGUUGAGGUUAAAAAGCUCGUAGUUGAACCUUGGGCCCAGCCGGCCGGUCCGCCUCACCGCGUGCACUGGCUCGGCCGGGCCUUUCCUUUCUGGAGAACCUCAUGCCCUUCACUGGG